AUAGGCCUGUCGGAGCAUGUCCGUAGCGACAGGAAACGUUAAGGUUGUAUCUAACUGAGGGGAGAAGAGGAUCGGACCAGAGGAGUUGCCACCUAUCUAAAUCGCGCUGUGGACUUGUGCUACCUUGAAGUAGAUCAGAGGGCGUCCUAACGCAGGAAUACCAUCAUCAUGGGUUUCUACGGCACGUUGAAGCUCAUAUUCUAUAAAAUGAAGAGGAAGUUGGACCAUGGACCAGACGUCAGGCCGUUCUCUUCAGUCAAGAAACACUGCAAAGGUUCCAGCUACCUCAGUCCCUGCAGUCUCGUUCCAUUCCAGACCACGCCCACUACCUUUGGAGACCUGCG